GGGACUGAUAUGGUUUUGACAUUAAUAGAGAUAUAUUUUAUGAUGCAAGCCGAGAGACUAAACUCUCGUUAAUAAAAAUUAUAAUUAAAUGCAAAUAAUAUUGUUAAAUUUUCUAAGUCUUUUAUUUUAGCAGCAUAAUUGUUUUUAUUUUAAAUAAAUAGAUUAAAUAGAUAGAUUUUGUAUAUUUUCUGUACCAACACUUAAGUAAGUAAAAACUUACUAAGCUUGUGAAUGAAUAAAAUAUAUCUCAUUAAUGGACGUGGGUUCAAAUCCCACCAGUUCCAC
rnacentral:tmRNA from 1 species